UUUUAGUGUCUGCCGUCUCACUAAUGAGGACAUAAAUACAUGAACAUCAUCUCCAGAACUGAUCUGAGAGUCCCUUCAUGAGCAUUCAUUUGACCGUUUCAUAUAGU